GGCUGCCCUUCUCAUUAUUGCCCUCUCUUCUUCAGUAAACAGGAUAUUUGUGAUAAACAUUAUCUUAGCCCAAGUAUAAAAAUUGGGUCCUAAAAAUUGAUUUAGCUGUUCUUCUAAUCCAAGGGAAUCUUCUAAAAGUGGCCUCAUUUCCUUUUUAAAAUUCCUAACCUCAGUACUUGUUAAAGGCACGCUCGUAAAUCCAACUUCUCCCAGUCCCAUAGGGCCUUCUUUAAGAGGAAACAUGUUGGACAUCUCCUAUUUAGAGCGAAUAGGGAAAUUCUUAACGUUCUUCUUACAUUGCUGUAAUUCUUUGCUUAAGUUCAGAUAAGGAUUUAAGGGAGCAGUGGGUUUAGUUUCCUCAUGGCCCCCAGAUUUCUCUUCCUCCAGCCUUCCUGUUGUCCCCUGAUCUCACUGUUCCUUAUUUUGUGAGAUGUAUGGUGGGCGCGAGGGGAGGGUGCCCAAGUGUGUUAGGGCAUCCCAGGGCUUUUUAUCGGGUGAGGGCUCUUUACUAUGCUCUUUUUCUUUUUCUUUGAGGGGAGCAUGGGGGCUAAUUCCCUGACCCAACAGAUAGCAUAACCUGUCUUUUCUUGUGAGGAUAAGGUUUUAUUAUUCACAUGUAGAAUUAAACCUUGGCACACCCAAUCCUCAUCUGAGCCAAACUUAGGCCAAAAGACCAAAGGCUUACGAAUGGGAUCUUUGGGCUCAAUAAGACAGCGAUACUUUAUCAUCUUUUGCUUUUCCUUGUCCCUGGUUUGAGGGUUAUACCUGCAAACCUGCAGCAUUCUCCCCAAUGGACUAUCUGUGGGAAUGUCAAAGGGAACCUCCUUAGUUCUCUGUUUCCUUUGUUCCCUAGGCCUAGAAUUCCUGUUUCCUAUUUUCAGUUAGUCUCUGUGUCUUUUCCCUCGCUAUGCAGCCCCUGCUACAAGAGCUUUCUUGCACACCCUGAGAAUUGCUUCGUCUGUCUCUGGCUGUUUCCCUUUACGAGAGAACAGAACCACAGAUUGGGACUCCACACUUGCUUUUUAUUUAAGAUACGUCUCAGUCACACACACUUGACCUCCAAAAAUGCCCCACCACCAAGGCAAUACUUACAGUCCGAUUUUCCGACCUUGGCUAGUGCAAAAGGUUGCCUGGUUUCUGAGAUGCCUGCUUUUUUCCCCGUGUCAUCUCCACUGCCUCCUGGAUAACAGUCUUGGGUUUGUCUGUGACUUCUGUGGGGAGCUGCUAUCCCCAGACAGAGUGGGCCACCUAAAGUGGGUGAGACGUGUCUCCCCUCUAGGCUGGAGUCCCACUCCAUGCAAGCACAGGUGUCCCAGAUGAGCCCCCAGGUUGUGAGAAACAAACAACCCUUCAAACCUAAAGAAUGGACUUAGAGACACAGGGAGCAGCAGAAGUGAGACUUUUAAUGACAGUCUUGCAAGAUCGAGGGUCUGGUGGACAGGCACACUCAGCACGGUUACCACAAGCAAUUUAUCCCCUAGUGUGCAGGUCCUUCCCCUGAGUCCUCAUAAGAUGAGUACUAUGGGGUCACAGUCUUCCCAGAUGUUGCCUAUUGGUCAUUGGGUAGGGGCUUUUAGGUAUAUUUUUUAGGGUCACCUCACUACAUUCUGUUGCAGCCCACAAUGCAUUGCAGUUAUAGUUAGCUCAGGGGCUUUUUAAAUAUUUGACCUAUGACCUAGGUAGGCAAGCUGGUAAGAAUAGAUAAAGCGAGCUAUUUUGGAGGCUAAUAAACUUUUAUUCUAGACUAAACUUCUUUGGUUCAGGUGAGGGCAACUAAAGGGCCACAGCAAGCAGGCGCUGGCUAUCAAAGCAGAGGCCUUAUGUAGUGUGUUCUUCAGUAGUUUGCAGAUCCAAGCCUAUUCAAGGCACUUUGUCUUGGAAAUGGACCACCACAUACAUUAUUUCCUUCAAUACCUAUUAGGACAGCUAAAUUAAAAUACAGUGAUAACACCAAAUACUGGUCAGGAGGCAGAGAAGCUGGACCUCUCAUGCAUUGCUGGUGGGAAUGUAAAAUCGCACAGACACUUCGGAAAAUUAUUUGGCCAUGUCUUAUCAAAUGAAGCACACAAAUACCAUACAACCCAGCAGUCACACUCUUAGGCAUUUAUCUCAUAGAAAUAAAAAUUUAUAUUCACACCAAAAUCGGUACACAGAUAUUCAGAGUGCUUUUAUUCAUAAUUGUAACAACCUAGAAAUAACCCCAAAAUGUUCAACUUUGGUAUAUCCAUACAACGAAAUACUACUCACCAGUGAAAAAGUAACAAUCUAUGAUACCAACAAUCUGGGUAGAUCUCAAAGGCAAUUGUGUUCAGUAAAAAAAUCACAGGGGCAUUACUCUCAGUGGAAAAAGCCCACCUUAAGAGGUUAUAUACUGUGUGAUUUCUACAACAUUCUCAAAAUGAAAAACCAACAGAGAUGGAAAACAGAUUGUAGUUUCCAGGAGCCGGGGACUGGGAGUUGGGGUGCAAAUAUAAAGGGGUAUCAUAGCCUGGGAAACAUGGUGAAACUCCAUCUCUACAAAAAAAAAAAAAAA
rnacentral:lncRNA from 1 species